rnacentral:rRNA from 1 species
AAUAGAUACCCUGGUAGUCCACCCCGUAAACGUUGGGAACUAGUUGUGGGGACCAUUCCACGGUUUCCGUGACGCAGCUAACGCAUUAAGUUCCCCGCCUGGGGAGUACGGCCGCAAGGCUAAAACUCAAAGGAAUUGACGGGGACCCGCACAAGCGGCGGAGCAUGCGGAUUAAUUCGAUGCAACGCGAAGAACCUUACCAAGGCUUGACAUAUACGAGAACGGGCCAGAAAUGGUCAACUCUUUGGACACUCGUAAACAGGUGGUGCAUGGUUGUCGUCAGCUCGUGUCGUGAGAUGUUGGGUUAAGUCCCGCAACGAGCGCAACCCUCGUUCUAUGUUGCCAGCACGUAAUGGUGGGAACUCAUGGGAUACUGCCGGGGUCAACUCGGAGGAAGGUGGGGAUGACGUCAAAGUCAUCAUGCCCCUUAUGUCUUGGGCUUCACGCAUGCUACAAUGGCCGGUACAAAGGGCUGCAAUACCGUAAGGUGGAGCGAAUCCCAAAAAGCCGGUCCCAGUUCGGAUUGAGGUCUGCAACUCGACCUCA